AAAGCCAUGGGCCAAUCUUGGGCUCAUGACCUCAUUUAGACCCGCAGGUCCUGGGGGAGGGCUUUGGGGGAGGUUCUUUCCUCUUAAGAAAGGCCUGUGGGAGCUGAUGCUAUGGCACUGGGGUGCCGGCCAGGAGCUGCAGAGCUACGCAUGAAUAAAAAGAGGCUGUGCUCAGGCGGCGGCGUGGCUGUGAACUGGCCAUGGAGGAGGGGAGGAGCACUAUCAGGGCAAGAUCCCCAAGGCCUGGUGGUCUCCAUGGGCCCCAUUAAACACCUGAGGAUUAAAGAUUCCAAGAAGCCUGGAUCCUCCCCACUCCAUAUUGCUGCCUGACAGGGGUUGAGGUGACGAGGGGAGCAUUGGUUUCCCUGGGGGAAUAAUUAAAGCUCUUUGGUGCUGAGCCAGAUCUGACAAGACUAAUGGUCCGUGUGAGCCAAGGCUCCAUGAGUUGUAUUAGCCAGAGAGUGGAGGAAGCCACAGCCGCUGCCACAGCCAGCCGCCACAGCCAGCCACCAUCAGGGCACCGAGGAUGUGCGCGCCCUGGAGGACUUCAGGCUCAGAGCCAUUCAGGGCCGGUGAGAAAGCUGAGGAUGGCAGGUACCUUCUCUCUAUGAGUCAUUGGUUGCCUCUGCCAACCAGAGACAAUGAUGGACAUUUACAUACUUCCAACGUCAGCAUGAAGGGUGAGUGUGGAACGCCACCUCUCUGCUGACCCAUCUGCAGGGCAGUGAGAUGGGCAGAGGCUGCCACUGGUCACUCACAAGUUCAUUCAAGAAUUAGCAGCUGAGGGCCAGACCCAUGCCAGAGCCAGCGCAAUAGAGAACCCCUGGCUCUCACUGUGGCAGCCCUCCAAGGUGCCCUCUCCUCCACCCGUCCGCCUGCCUGGGAGAUGCUGAGAGUGAGUGAACCUGCCCCUGGGAAAGAGCCAGGACUCCUAUGGGGGCUGCACGUGGGUGCCCCGCCUUGGCCACUGCUCCUGGCCACUUGAACUCUCUGGUUUUCUCCCCAGAGGCGCUGAGGAUCAUGAUGAAAACCACCCCGGGGCUUUUCACAAGCUGCACUGGAGUCGACGGUGGAGAAGUUACAGACACGCAGUGUGUGUGUCACCUGCGGGCCGCUAAUUAGAGCGCCGCUGACAGCCCAGAGAUGGGGAGCUGGAGAGGCUGGGCGCGGGAGAGAGCCCAGGUGGGCUCCUGUGAGUUUAGGCCUGAGUGCUGCAGCGGAGCCAGCAAGAGCUCGGAAUCACCCAGCUUUGUGGAUCUGCCCUCCCCUUUGCCGUCCUCAGUCCAGCUCAGCCCUCGCCUCCUGGAGGAACCCAGCCCAGCUCGUCCCACAGCCCUGGGGCCUGCAUCACCCUGGAUGGACUGAAGUGGGUCUGACCGCUGCUCCCUGCAGCUGGUUUCCACCAAGGUCACAGGAUGCAGUGGAGGCCUGCAGGCCUGGGGCUUCUUCCUGCUUUGUUGGGUGGCCACUGACCGUGACCUCACAGGCUUCUGGCUCCCUGACCCUGGGGUGUCCUGAGCAGUGUGAGGUAGUGACACUCUUAGGGCUCCAGGAAACAUGUAUCCUCUCUCAGCACACCUGCUGUGGCCCAUGGGGCUCUGUUCUGAGCUCCUGGUCAUCUUCCUGACCGGGACAAGCCCAAAUAUCUGUGGUGGGGGGCUCCUCCGGAGCUCAGCCAUGGGAGAAGGCGGUAGACCCAGAUCAGCGUGGAGGACACCAGGUGAGCCUGGCUGAGCCUUCACCCUCUCAGAUCCCAAAAGUGCCCAGGUCUCAAAUCCAGGGUAAGGUCCCAGGGAGUCAGGGAACUGAUAGGGGAAAGCACUCAGCCUUGCAGGGCUUCGUCGCCUGGAUGUGGAUGAGACCAGCACACCACGUGGGGCAGCGAAGGCGCCAGGCCUGCUCUCCAACAGCAUCCUUUGAAUCAAGGGUCCUCACAUUCUCUCUUGCUUCCCAACCCCCAGUAUGCCCUCCUGUUUUCCAUCUUAUUAUCUGCUCCCUCUUAUCCCAGGGUUUUUCAGCCUCAGCACCACUGACAUUUGGGACGGAUCAUUCUCCCUGCUGUGGCCACCCCAUGCACUGCAGGCAGCUGAGCAGCAUCCUCGGCCUCCACCCGUGAGAGACCUGCACCACCCACCUCCGACGCCACCACCCAAAGCCUCUGCAGACACUUCCCGGUGUCCCCGGAUGGCAAAACUGGCCUGUGGAGGACCAGCGACCUGCCCCAGUGUUUACUGUGUGUGCAAAUACUCUCUGAGCCCCUGUAUGUGCCCGAGCUUGCCUGAGGUCUAGUGUGGCUGUGGCCAGUGGUGACACUAGAAAAAAACAGCAAACACGGGGCCUCGGCAUGCACCAAACUGGGCCAGAACCCACCGCAGCCAUGAGCUCUGGAACCCGCACUGCAAACAUGAGACCUCACCGUGCACCAACCUGGGCUGGAACCCACUGCAGCCGUGAACUCUGGAACCCACACAGCAAACAUGAGGCCUCACCAUGCACCAACCUGGGCUGGAACCCACUGCAGACGUGAACUCUGGAACCCACACAGCAAACAUUGGAGGGAAACACUGUCACUUCUACUUUACAGGCAUAAACACUGAAGUGCAGAGCAUUUGGGUGCAUCAGAAUUUUAACUCUUCAGCCCUGCAGGCCUCGCUUUCAGACAUUCUGCUUCAGUAGGGCUGGAAGGGGUCCUGGGGAGCCCCACUGCAGGGAACCAGAAACCAACUGGAAGAGCCGGUGUCCAGCAGGCCCCAGAGCUCCUCAGAGCCUCAGAUGGGGUUGGAGGGCCUUCCCCUGCUCCAUCCUUCCCCCAAAUACUGGUUGUUCCUUUCAUUCAAUAGAUGCUCAAAUCUUACACAAUUUAAACAGACAUUCCUAAGAGCACUGUAUUUGCAUGUAAUUUGACUGUUUUCUUGUAGUAGUUGUAAAAGGGGAAGGAAAAUCUAUUCCAGUUAAUUGUAGGUUCUGUGGAACUGGAGUUAGAUCACAUCACUAUUGAAACCAGCUUAUUAUUGAUCGGAAAUGUGACAGGCCUGGGUCCACGGGCACACGUGUUGCCAGAAGCCUUUGUCACUCCAUGGCUGACAUCUCUGCAUUGUUUUUCAGCUGGUAAUUCCUUAAAAGACUGAGACAAUAGUCAUUUAAUAUCGUUUGCUCAAAUGAACAGUUCCCCGAGCAAAUAACAAUAAUAAAAAAAAGUCCCUGAGAAGCCAAUUAGACUCUGCAGCUUGUACCAAGCAAUGGCCUUUCUAAUAGACGCCCUUUUUACAAGUGCAG
rnacentral:lncRNA from 10 species